AAAGUACUAACUUAUCCUUUCCUUUUAAGGUCAAAUUCACAGAAGUGGCAAUAUCAAUUCCAAAGGAUGAAACUUUAAUCAGGCUCAAAGGAUGAUGGCAAAUGAUUCUUCUUGAGAGUAAGACCAAUAAUAUGGUAAAUGCAAGGGAACAUGUAGGCCUAGGGGAUUAAUGUGUAUAGAUUAAGUUUGAGAGCAACAGGUUAUUGGAGUGUGCUGGUAUGCGUCAAUAUCAAUUUAGCU
rnacentral:misc_RNA from 1 species